GACGAACGCUGGCGGCGUGCCUAAUACAUGCAAGUAGAACGCUGAAGGAGGAGCUUGCUUCUCUGGAUGAGUUGCGAACGGGUGAGUAACGCGUAGGUAACCUGCCUGGUAGCGGGGGAUAACUAUUGGAAACGACAGCUAAUACCGCAUAAUAGUAGAUGUUGCAUGACAUUUGACUAAAAGGUGCAAUUGACUCACUACCAGAUGGACCUGCGUUGUAUUAGCUAGUUGGUGGGGUAACGGCUCACCAAGACGACGAUACAUAGCCGACCUGAGAGGGUGAUCGGCCACACUGGGACUGAGACACGGCCCAGACUCCUACGGGAGGCAGCAGUAGGGAAGCUUCGGCAAUGGACGGAAGUCUGACCGAGCAACGCCGCGUGAGUGAAGAAGGUUUUCGGAUCGUAAAGCUCUGUUGUAAGAGAAGAACGGAUGUGAGCGUGGAAAGUGCACACUGGGACGGGAUCAUACCAGAAAGGGACGGAUAACUACGU
rnacentral:rRNA from 1 species